GACGAACGCUGGCGGCGUGCUUAACACAUGCAAGUCGAGCGGUAAGGCUCCUUCGGGAGUACACGAGCGGCGAACGGGUGAGUAACACGUGAGCAAUCUGCCCUUCACUUUGGGAUAACCACCGGAAACGGUGGCUAAUACCGAAUACGACCACUUCAGGUAUCUGAUGGUGGUGGAAAGUUCCGGCGGUGGAGGAUGAGCUCGCGGCCUAUCAGCUUGUUGGUGGGGUAAUGGCCUACCAAGGCAACGACGGGUAGCCGGCCUGAGAGGGUGACCGGCCACACUGGGACUGAGACACGGCCCAGACUCCUACGGGAGGCAGCAGUGGGGAAUAUUGGACAAUGGGCGAAAGCCUGAUCCAGCAACGCCGCGUGAGGGAUGACAGCCUUCGGGUUGUAAACCUCUUUCAGUAGGGACGAAGCGCAAGUGACGGUACCUACAGAAGAAGCACCGGCCAACUACGUGCCAGCAGCCGCGGUAAUACGUAGGGUGCGAGCGUUGUCCGGAAUUAUUGGGCGUAAAGGGCUCGUAGGCGGUUUGUCGCGUCGGGAGUGAAAACACGGGGCUUAACCCCGUGCCUGCUUCCGAUACGGGCAGACUAGAGGUAUGCAGGGGAGAACGGAAUUCCUGGUGUAGCGGUGAAAUGCGCAGAUAUCAGGAGGAACACCGGUGGCGAAGGCGGUUCUCUGGGCAUUACCUGACGCUGAGGAGCGAAAGUGUGGGGAGCGAACAGGAUUAGAUACCCUGGUAGUCCACACCGUAAACGUUGGGCGCUAGGUGUGGGACUCAUUCCACGAGUUCCGCGCCGCAGCUAACGCAUUAAGCGCCCCGCCUGGGGAGUACGGCCGCAAGGCUA
rnacentral:rRNA from 1 species